AUCAAUAUCAGCAUUCAAAGGCGGAUGAUGAUGGGACUCACGUGUCAAACACACAAAGGCAUGUUUGAAUGUUAAUGUUGUGGUGGAUUUGUAGAUUGUGUAAGUGUUUUGUGGAUGUUUACGAGGGGUGAAGAAGUAGUCUAAUGUUGUAGACUAACUUAGUGUAGACUAGUUUAAUGUUUUGUGGAUGUUUACAAAUGUUGAAGUAGUUUAAUGUUGUUUUGAUGUUUGCGAGGGGUGAAGUUUAGCUUAAGUCUCUUGUGAAUGUUUGAUUGAUGUUUUUAUUCAACUUUGAAGUAGUUUCAAAUUAAAUUUGAUGUAUUGGUGGUUGUAGUA